rnacentral:rRNA from 1 species
CAUGGGGGUGCAUACCAUGCAGUCGAACGGUGUCUUCGGACAUAGUGGCGGACGGGUGAGUAACGCGUGAGAAUCUAUCUUCUGGUCUAGGACAACCACUGGAAACGGUGGCUAAUACUGGAUGUGCCGAAAGGUGAAAGGCUUGCUGCCUGAAGAUGAGCUCGCGUCUGAUUAUCUAGUUGGUGGGGUAAGAGCCUACCAAGGCGACGAUCAGUAGCUGGUCUGAGAGGAUGAUCAGCCACACUGGGACUGAGACACAGCCCAGACUCCUACUGGAGGCAGCAGUGGGGAAUUUUCCGCAUUGGGCGAAAGCCUGACGGAGCAAUACCGCGUGAGGGAGGAAGGCUCUUGGGUUGUAAACCUCUUUUCUCAUGGAAGAACACAAUGACGGUACCUGAGGAAUCAGCAUCGGCUAACUCCGUGCCAGCAGCCGCGGUAAUACAGAGGAUGCAAGCGUUAUCCGGAAUGAUUGGGCGUAAAGCGUCCGCAGGUGGCCUUGUAAGUCUGCUGUCAAAGAGCGAAGCUCAACUUCGUAAAGGCAGUGGAAACUACACGGCUAGAGUGCGUUCGGGGCAGAGGGAAUUCCUGGUGUAGCGGUGAAAUGCAUACAAAAAAACGCCCUCUA